AACGAGUACGUCUUCGAGAACAGGUCCUGUACUUUCACUGGGCCUGAAUUGCUGCGUUCCUCCUGCGCUCUUUCUGCUGGGGGAGCGCAGAGGCGCGCUCCGUGCCGCGAGCGUACUCGCCACGGAGAAGUCUGUAAUGAGGCACUUGAGCAAUCGUGGUUGCUUGCGUACACAGAAAAGCACGAAUGUCAGCGCCGUCGUCCGCACCGUGUGCCUGAGUCCCAGGAAAAAAGGAUUUGGAUUAUAGCGACAACAUCCACACUACUCCGCCAGCGAGACGACGGGGCGACGGAGAAAGACAGGAAAAUGCCGGACAAACGGGAAGUGAAUGAUCCUCCCAGAAAGAGGACCAAGAAGAACCAGAAGGGAAAGCGGCCGGGGCAGACAUAUCAGCGAGAAACAGUUGCCGAAGCCUCUCUACGGAAACACAUCAAUGGGGGCAAGCCUCCAAGAUGUGGGGUUCAGGACACCAUUCGGGAUUUCGAGGCUUCUCACUCGAUGAAGUCUCGACGGGCUUCUCUCGCCGAGGCGCCCGUCGUCAAACACAUGUUCGCGUGAGUGCUGGACACAGAGCUCCCCGCGCUCCAGGCUCCUCUGGAUUUUGCCAAGUAAAUCUUCGACCGGCAACGCAGCUGAUGCUCGCGACGGUGGAUGCAGCACGGCCUGAUCGAAGAAUCAGGGACUUGUAUGAAUGCCUCUGAGCGUACGAUGACUCGUCGGCGCGCCGCGUCGGCAACAGGAACGUCUACAACGCAGGUGCCACAGAUGAAAUGAACCACCAAAAAUUCAAGUUCCUUGGCGGGUCAUUGUUGAGCACCUCACCGGGCAUACCCAGUCAGCGUUGUACGCUUGUGCACUCACACCAGUGGUCCGGAGCGUGAGCACUGAUGGAAGGGGUUCAUAGGGGUGCCCAUGGAGGCAAGUGACGAGCUGGAGGCUACGGAGGAGCGCGAGAUGGCAGCGAGUUUCGAGAAGAUGCCGCAGCAAGAGCGGUGGGCGCUUCAGAUCGUUCAAGCUUAUGGUGCUGCUGAGGGCUAUUGGACCGCCGAACGUCGUUCCUGAGUAUGUUUGAAGCGCGACGCCUGCCAUGCUUGCAUGUUGCGCUACUUCGGUUUCCUGAACAAAACCUCCACUGUAGAGCACCCUCCCUGGCCGAGUCCGAACUACCUGGCCUACUCAAGCGCUUCUUGGACGCGGUCCAAGCACGCGACUUCGAGGCCCACGAUAUUACUGUACUGCACUGCACUGCAGUGUACUGGACUGGACUGGACUGCACUGCACUGGACUGCACUGUGCUGUGCUGUGCUGUGCUGUGCUGUGCUGUGCUGUGCUGCACUUGACCGCACUGCCCCGUCCUAUCCUAUACUGUACUACCUGCUCAAUGAGCUACAACUGGUCUUUGCGAGCACGUAUGAAGCACUCGAGCAUCUUUACGAAGAGCAUUGGCGGGGGCCGUUCAAGGUUGUUUCUUGACGCAGAGUCCAAGGAAGGAACUGGACAGGUGCAGUGGAGACCGACGGAGUAUCCCUCUGGUUGCACUCUGCUCAGUCGAUACCCGAGUCCCGCAAAGAGGCUCGUUUCAAUCGCUCAUCGUCGCUGAAAUCUAAAAUUUCGCGGCGGGUGCAGGUCCCGGGUUGCAGGACGUCAUAGCUGUCGCCGUGCUCCCAGGUCAGGACGACGAAGCCAAGGGCCUGAACUGAAAGCAGCUGGAGAAGCUAAAUGUUUCCAGAGCUCCGUCUUAUUGAGGGUCGCGCAUGACAGGUGUCAGAAGGCAUACCGACAGAUGGAAUGGACGCGGCAGGACCCAGAUAGACGCCCUGAAUACCGUGCGGAGCAGAGGUGGUCCUUCGAACGCUUCAGCCGAAGAUUGCGUGAGCGUCUGAAUGGCUCGUGCGGAAGGCGUCUCUGGCAGGCGUACCCGAGGCCGCGCUGAGGUCGCCAACUUUUUCGGUUGCACGGAGACAAGAAACGUCCAUUGACCAUCCACUUCUAUAAAUUGGAGAAGGAAAUGACCGACAAGUCGCUUCGUUCGAAGGCAGCGUAGGGUUCUUGAUGUGUUGCGGCGUGCAGUGGCUCCACUCUUGCUCGUCGAAUGCGAGCGCACGACAAGUGCAGGAAUCGACUCUUCAGGAAUCCCAUCGGUGAGUGCGGGACGACAAACACUCCUUGCGGACACGGGUGUGCGCUGAAACUGAUUGAGAAGAAGCGAGUGAAGCGCAGACGGCUGUAUAAGAUGGUGUACGGCAGGGUGACCAAACCUCAGAUACCGGUGCAUUCGAAGGCGAGCGGCUUUGUAUAGUGCGAUUCUACCAGCAAGCUUGUGCGCAGGCGCUUUCUGCAUCGAGACUUGAACGUCCCGCUCAACGUUCGGAAAUGUCACGUGCCUCCGGAGCGCUCAGCGGCUUUGCAUCGUGCGGGUUGUCGGGGAAGAAUCGUUCGCUUCUCAGCGUAGGCAUUGUGCUGGAGCGCUGAGGACUCCCGAUGCAGAACAAAUCAGUAGCCGGGAUCGAGGAUCGUGGAUUUCCGCCUGGAGCAAGACACUGGUAUGGAACGGUGUAUCAGUUCGGAAUAGGCUGGAGUGCCGCUUGUCUACAUCGGGAAAGACUUUCGUAGGCAACUGAUGAGUGAUUAUGGUGUAGGAUUACCCAAUAAAAUGGGCAGAAGAGCACCAUAAUAUCGGUUCCUGAAAUUAACCGAUACGGCGAUACUUGCGAAUACUGGGAUCGUUUCAUGAAGCUCAUGAGCUAAAAUGUAUCGAGACAGGACUCGAGCGCUUCCGGCAGGAUAACAGAACCCCAUGUAAGGUAGUGUAGUGUUUUUCUUCCGUUCCGGCCCGUGAGAUGCUUGAAGACGCCUUGUUGAGUGGUACACAAUGUUUCUCAGUGGCGUCCGAUCACACUUUGCGCAUCGAUUGUCGUUCUAACUGGCUGCUCCAGACUCCAGAUAUUUCGAGGAUCUUGCACGAACAACGGCGCCUAGAUUGCUUGCUUCUUGACAAGUAUGGUUCCUUGUUUAUGCGCCCCGGGUGAACUUAGAUCUUGCUCGGUCUCAGCGCGUAUCUACGAGACUGUGAUUGCCGCAAAACACGUCAAUUAGAUCAUGACCAGAUAUCUAUUCCGGCUUAUUCUUCGCUGUGCAGCUCGUACCUUGACAAUAUCUUGACAGCGUCCCUAUUAGCGUUCUAUAUGGGAAUCCAGCAACCUGUACGCCCAUACAUGAUAGUCUGAAAGUUUCCGCUAGUCACUGCUCCAUGCGGUGCAGUUCAUACGAGAAUGCUCAGAAUAUUUUUGCCAGAUUUUUCGCUGAAGCUCCCAAUAGCCAGCGGAACUUGCUGUCUAUAAAGCCGGAAAACGUGUUCGGCCCCUGGGGGAGGCAACUUGUAACCGAGGCGCGGCGCUUCGCCUCAAGAGUCUGUGGCCUGCGCCGCCUCCUUCGGGCCAAGACUGGAAACACCGGAAAA
rnacentral:misc_RNA from 1 species